rnacentral:misc_RNA from 1 species
GGAAUCAUUUGCACGGAUGAUGGCUCUGGCUCAAGGGUUACUGGCAUCAACCUUACAAACAACAACAUUUCUGGAGACUCGUAUAACAACUUCUCUUUGCUGACUGCUCUUUCUCACCUCGAUCUUUCUCAAAACUAUAUCAGGGGUUCAAUUCCUAAUGACUUGAGCAACUGCCAAAACUUGGUUUAUCUCAAUCUCUCACACAAUAUGCUGGAUGGGGAGCUCAACCUGACUGGAUUGAGUAAUUUGCAAACUCUGGACUUGUCUGUGAAUAGGAUUUUCGGGGAAAUUCAGACCAGCUUUCGAGCAAUUUGUAACAAGUUGGUUGUGGCAAAUAUUUCGGCAAAUAAUUUCACCGGUAGGAUUGAUAAUUGCUUUGAUGGGUGCUCGAGUUUGCAGCACCUUGAUUUGAGCUCGAAUUUUUUCAGUGGGGGGACAUGGA